AUUGCGACCCGGCUUAAGCGGAAAUCCUUUUUUGUGGAGCAAGGCGGAACAAAAAAGAUUGGGAGCGGAAGACGGAAAUUUGU
rnacentral:sRNA from 1 species